rnacentral:rRNA from 1 species
UAAUGGUGGGAACUCCAGGGAGACUGCCGGUGAUAAACCGGAGGAAGGUGGGGACGACGUCAAGUCAUCAUGGCCCUUACGAGUAGGGCUACACACGUGCUACAAUGGCAGAUACAGAGGGCAGCGAGACAGCGAUGUUUAGCGAAUCCCUUAAAGUUUGUCGUAGUCCGGAUUGGAGUCUGCAACUCGACUCCAUGAAGUCGGAAUCGCUAGUAAUCGUGGAUCAGAAUGCCACGGUGAAUACGUUCCCGGGCCUUGUACACACCGCCCGUCACACCAUGGGAGUGGGCUGCACCAGAAGUAGAUAGCUUAACCUUCGGGAGGGCGUUUACCACGGUGUGGUUCAUGACUGGGGUGAAGUCGUAACAAGGUAGCCCUAGGGGAACCUGGGGCUGGAUCACCUCCUUACU